GACGAGCGCUGGCGGCGUGCCUAAUACAUGCAAGUCGAGCGCAGGAAGCUGACGGAACUCUUCGGAGGGAAGGCAGCGGAAUGAGCGGCGGACGGGUGAGUAACACGUAAGGAACCUGCCUCAAGGAUUGGGAUAACUCCGAGAAAUCGGAGCUAAUACCGGAUAGUUCAACGGACCGCAUGGUACGCUGAUGAAAGGCGCUCCGGCGUCACCUUGAGAUGGCCUUGCGGUGCAUUAGCUAGUUGGUGGGGUAACGGCCCACCAAGGCGACGAUGCAUAGCCGACCUGAGAGGGUGAUCGGCCACACUGGGACUGAGACACGGCCCAGACUCCUACGGGAGGCAGCAGUAGGGAAUCUUCCACAAUGGACGAAAGUCUGAUGGAGCAACGCCGCGUGAGUGAUGAAGGUUUUCGGAUCGUAAAACUCUGUUGUAAGGGAAGAACACGUACGAGAGGAAAUGCUCGUACCUUGACGGUACCUUACGAGAAAGCCACGGCUAACUACGUGCCAGCAGCCGCGGUAA
rnacentral:rRNA from 1 species